rnacentral:snRNA from 1 species
GGAUGUGAGGGUGAUCUGGCUGCGACAUCUGUCACCCCAUUGAUCGCCAGGGUUGAUUCGGCCGAUCUGGCUGGGUAGGCCCGUGUCCCCUUCCUCCUUCACCGCUCCAUGUGCGUCCCUCCCGAAGCUGUGCACUGGUGAAAGAGGACGACCUUCCCCGCUAAAGGACCCGGUCAAGGGUAUACCAGUUCCUGCACUCCCCUGCUAGAACCUCCAAACAAGCUCUCGAAUUAUGUGGAUUCAUCAUCCCCUCUCCAGGGAGUAGAGUAGAAGAAAAGAUUAAAAAAAAGAAAAUAAUGCUUGGGUCCUCAUAUUUUUUU